CUCAUCUCUGCAUUCCUGUGAGCGGCAGGCCUCCAUGGGCCACAUAGCCGCCACCUGCUGCUGUAACCCCAGCACAGGGGAACCUGCAUCACCCUUUUCCCUCCAUCCACCCUCACCCAGGAGCCGGUUCCAAAUCCUCGGGACCAGACAGAGGCCACGUCUUCCCCGGCCCACUCCCCAGCAGCGACGUGGAGGUAGAGGGAGGAGCUUUUGCCGGCAACGCCAGCUUCCCCUGCCCCCUCUCCCUCUAGAGCUCCCCUCCUCUCCUCUUUCAUUCCCCUCCUUAUCCCUCCUCUUCUCUCCCCUUCCCUCCCCGCCCUUCCCCUCUGCCGCAGCCCAGCUCCUAGCGCGUCAGCGUGGGCUUCCCGGAGCGAGUCGCUAGGUAACAGGGCUAGCUCCGCAGACCCGGGCCAGGGAAGCCCGCGCGCGUCGUCAGCAUCUGCGCCGAGGGGCGGGGGACGCACUGACACUCCCCUAUCGGAGCCUGCAGACCCUUCAGCUGGUUCUCAGUCCCCUCCCUGGAUGCCUUAAGGGUGGCUAUUGCCACCGCGGAGUUGCCCCUCCCCUGCGGGGACCCCGACGUCGCCGCCCCCUUCUCCUCUCACGCUGGUCCGCACCACUCUCCGCACCGCCAGCCACCCUCCGAGAUCUUCCCGCCGAGCCCAGGCGCGGGGCAUGAGGAGCCCCUGGGUGUCUCCUGCAGACAACCCAGCCUCGCGCACACCUCGCCAGUCGCUGACAGGGACAUGAACAGCAUGAUUGGGUUCCGGUGUCCGGCGGCCAGCCUCAGCCGGAGGCGGCCAGUGGGUCUGCGCUGUUUGGGAGAAUGAGGCAGGAACCCACGGCAACCUCUCUCUCCUCCUUCUCCUCGCCUUCCUCUGGCUCCCGCUCCCCGGACCCGGGCCGGGCUGUGGCUCUGCUGCGUGCCCUGCGCGCCCCCCACCUGCCUCCGGAUGCUCUUCUCGGUGAAGCCCCUGGGGUCCAGAGGUCAGAAGGAACUGUCCAACGUCAAACCAAACCAAACCCUUCAGGAGAAGAAAGAUCUGGUGGCCUAUUCUGCAUGCUGCUUCAGGCUGCCACUGUCCUGCUGGACUGUGACAUCCUUGAAGUGGGAGCUGGACUCAACUCACCUUGCUCCUCUUACUCACCUGAAUCCAGUGCAGGGUGAGGCACAGGGAGGCACCCUCCUCUCCAUUCUGAUUUCUCUGCGGAGCCAGGUCUUCCCAGCUGCAUUCCUGUGGGUCAAAGCCAAGGAACAGCUCUCCUCUUACACUAGCAAAUCCUAUUAUGGAGUCUUUUUCUCAGCUAUAUAAUUUGUCUCCUUGAUAAGACAGAAUUAUGAACUCACAUUCUGUGAACUCAUAACAAGGCCUGCCACUGACAUUUGUAAGGCAUCUGUCUUAGUCAAGGUUUCUAUUUCUGCACAAACAUCAUGACCAAGAAGCAAGUUAGGGUGGAAAGGGUUUAGUCAGCUUACAUUUCCACAUUGCUGUUCAUCACCAAAGGAAGUCAGGACUGGAACUCAAGCAGGUCAGGAAGCAGGAGAUGAUACAGAGGCCAUGGAGGGAUGUUCCUUACUGGCUUGCUUACCCUGGCUUGCUCACUUUGCUCUCUUAUAGAACCCAAGACUACCAGUCCAGGGAUGGUACCACCCACAAGGGGCCCUACCCCCUUGAUCACUAAUUGAGAAAAUGCCCCACAGCUGGAUCUCAUGGAGGCAUUUCCUCACCUGAAGCUCCUUUCUCUGUGAUAACUCCAGCUGUGUCAAGUUGACACACAAAACCAGGCAGUACAGCAUCUAUGUGAAACAUGGUCUCAAGAAAGAGAGAAUCAGGGACAGAAUUAGAAGGAAAGAGACCUUAAGAAGAGGAAAGAAAUGACAUUCCCUGAGUUACUACAAUUGCCCAGUGCUCCGUAAGGCAAGGGGACCCCUUUGAGCACAGGGUCCCCAAGGCUCAGGCUGCAUUUCAUUCAAUCUAAAAGAGGGAAGAAAACAUUGUGAUUCACAGUGGACUGGGACUCAGCUCCUCCAUCUUCAAACCCAAAGCACAGGACCGGCAUCGGUUGUAUUAAUUCCCCACUCCCGCCCCAGUCCAUGCUCUGGGCAAAACCUUUGCGUCCACACAUUAAUCACUGGCUGUCACUGGCCCCGGGUUGGGGGAACACGCUGCUAAGUAAAACCUCAAUGGGAAGGGUAGGAUCUGCAGAGCUACCAUGAGUCACAGAGCAGCCCUCCAGCCUCUGCAAGGCGAGAUUUGGUUGAAAAGUUUGCAGGCAUGGCAAACUGAACGUGGGUGGGGGUGCCGAGAUAAG
ensembl:lncRNA